UUCUUUUCUUGCUCAAGAAGUCGGGAAAUCUCGUCAGGAAUCCCUUCAACAUCAUCUUCGUCCGCUUCGAAUACAGGGAAUUCAAAAUUGGGAGAUGACGUCCGAUCAUUACGUUCAAUGGGUUUGAGAAACAACCUGCAUAAUGAUUUUGAUAUGAAAAGCUUUUUGAAAAUCGAACAAGACAAUCGUUAUGCAAAUGAAAAGAUUGCUUUUAUUCUUGUUUUUUAAGGGUUUUUUUUUUUGUGAUCACCAAUUUCAUGCAAAAAGCGAAAAGGGAAAACAAUUGGAAAAACAAAUGUUUUAACAUGAAUUUAUUUGAAUGAAAAUAUCAUUGCACAAAAGGUUGCCAACAAUGCCAUCACUUCUCCUUUUGG
rnacentral:lncRNA from 1 species